UCCCCGAGCAGGGGGCCCGGGGAAGGAUCUGUGAGCUGUGGCCCGUUGGGUGGGGCUGGAGGGAAGGGCUGGGGAGGGGCGGGAGGCCCAGCUCGGAGCCCUGACCCUAGGGGCGUCCUGGGUCGUGGAACCGACGGGAAACCGCCUCUGGGCACGGGGGGCGCAAACGGGCACCCCGAGACUCUUGGCCAAGGGCACGUUCAAAAUCAGAGCAGUCACCACACCCCCAGUCACAGGAGCCUCCAGCCGAGGAGCCCCUCCGGGGAGCCACCCCCCAGGGCUGCCCUUGGACCGAAGCCGCUGGGGCUGAACACGCGUUCGGGCGCCAGGGACCCUGAAGGGGCAGGGCCACUGCGUGUGGCUCGCAGCUGUGUCCCAGGCACGGAGGGUGUGAAUUCGUGGGUGGCAGAACUGGAGCCAGGCCCGAGCACCUGCCGUCCAGUCUGCUGGCUUCGAGGUCCCCUGUCCUUAGCCAGGUCCAUCAACAUGUGGGUGGGGGACCUACCCAAGGCCCUUUUCAAAAUGUUCACAAACGUGCCCCCUGGAAGCUGGACUUCCAAACCUUCAAGGAGGAAGGAGCUUUGCUACAAUAUUAAAACAAGUGGCUGAUGGAA